rnacentral:SRP_RNA from 1 species
UCCUGCUUGCCCUCUUCGUGGCGGCCGGCCUUGCCGUCAGAAGUGACAGCCGGGUCCCGCGCAACGGGCGGUUGUGAACCCCGUCAGGCCCGGAAGGGAGCAGCGGUAGCAACUUUCCCCGUGUGCCGCGGGGGUGCCUGGCUGUCACUUGUGCCGGCAAUGUCCAGCCGGA